CCCUCGUCUAUGAAUAUUUUUACAAACGCUCAAAGUAUGACAGAAUGUAUAUCAUAUUGCGUCUGAUAAACGUGACAAAUACAACUUUCAACAACGGAUCUCUUGGCUCUCGCAUCGAUGAAGAACGCAGCGAAAUGCGAUAAGUAAUGUGAAUUGCAGAAUUCAGUGAAUCAUCGAAUCUUUGAACGCACCUUGCGCUCCUUGGUAUUCCGAGGAGCAUGCCUGUUUGAGUGUCAUGAAAUUCUCAACUGCCCCAGGCUUUGUGGCCUGCGGGUGAAGUUGGACUUGGAGGUAUGCUGGCGCAUGAAUGGGCUUUUGUGCCCCGUCUCGCUUGUUGGCUCCUCUCGAAUGCAUGAGCUUUCCAAUCCUUGGCAAAGUAUCGUCGAUGUGAUAAUUGUCUACGUCGCCUGAGAAAGCCGAAAAGGGGAAAUCUUUGAUCACGCUGGGGUGACCUGCGUCUGACAAAUUCGACCUCAAAUCAGGUAGGACUACCCGCUGAACUUAAGCAUAUCAAUAAGCGGAGGAAAAGAAACUAACAAGGAUUCCCCUAGUAACUGCGAGUGAAGCGGGAAAAGCUCAAAUUUAAAAUCUGGCGGCCUCCGGUCGUCCGAU
rnacentral:rRNA from 1 species